UCCCUGGAAGACCAGUGGCUAGGCCACAGCGCCCUCACCACCGCGGCCCGGGCUCGAUUCCCGACCAGGUGU